rnacentral:rRNA from 1 species
AGUGAACGCUGGCGGUAGGCCUAACACAUGCAAGUCGAACGGCAGCACAGUAAGAGCUUGCUCUUACGGGUGACGAGUGGCGGACGGGUGAGGAAUACAUCGGAAUCUACUUUUUCGUGGGGGAUAACGUAGGGAAACUUACGCUAAUACCGCAUACGACCUACGGGUGAAAGCAGGGGAUCUUCGGACCUUGCGCGAUUGAAUGAGCCGAUGUCGGAUUAGCUAGUUGGCGGGGUAAAGGCCCACCAAGGCGACGAUCCGUAGCUGGUCUGAGAGGAUGAUCAGCCACACUGGAACUGAGACACGGUCCAGACUCCUACGGGAGGCAGCAGUGGGGAAUAUUGGACAAUGGGCGCAAGCCUGAUCCAGCCAUACCGCGUGGGUGAAGAAGGCCUUCGGGUUGUAAAGCCCUUUUGUUGGGAAAGAAAAGCAGCAGGUUAAUACCCCGCUGUUCUGACGGUACCCAAAGAAUAAGCACCGGCUAACUUCGUG